rnacentral:rRNA from 1 species
UUGAAAGGGAAACGAUUGAAGUCAGUCGUACCGACGAGGAAUCAACCUUUUGAGAGUGGAUAUGUGGGAUUCAAAGUGCCUUUGUUUUUCGCAUCAUCUGCUUUUUUUGGGCGUACUUUUUCGUAUGGUAGGUUAACAUCGGUUUUGAUCGUUAUAAAAUGACUGGAGGAAUGUAGCUUUGAUCUUGUAUUGAAGUGUUAUAGCCUUUGGUAGAUGUAACGGUUAGGAUCGAGGAUUGCAAUGGAUACCCUUAUGGGCUAUCCGUCUGGCCUCUGAUUUGUCACUUUGGUGCUGAAAGCGUGCUUAUGGUAUUAAAGUGUACGGUCAAAAGGUUAGAACGGAAUAAAUUCGUUAAGGAUGUUGACGUA